CCUACGGGCCGCACCAGUGGGGAAUCUUGGACAAUGGGCGAAAGCCCGAUCCAGCAAUGCCGCGUGUGUGAAGAAGGUCUUCGGAUUGUAAAGCACUUUCGACGGGGACGAUGAUGACGGUACCCGUAGAAGAAGCCCCGGCUAACUUCGUGCCAGCAGCCGCGGUAAUACGAAGGGGGCUAGCGUUGCUCGGAAUGACUGGGCGUAAAGGGCGCGUAGGCGGUUUAUGCAGUCAGAUGUGAAAUCCCCGGGCUUAACCUGGGAACUGCAUUUGAGACGCAUAGACUAGAGGUCGAGAGAGGGUUGUGGAAUUCCCAGUGUAGGGGUGAAAUUCGUAGAUAUUGGGAAGAACACCGGUGGCGAAGGCGGCAACCUGGCUCGAUACUGACGCUGAGGCGCGAAAGCGUGGGGAGCAAACAGGAUUAGAUACCCUCGUAGUC
rnacentral:rRNA from 1 species